ensembl:lncRNA
AUGCUGUGUCACUUGUGUAAACGGAUAGGCUGUGCCUCCUUCCUCAGAAUGCUUAUUAAUAAGGUACUUACUGAACAACCAGUACCACCAUAUAUGGCAAAUGUUUCUCCAAGUUCUGCCUUUAUGAUGGCUGGAGAUAAUGGUGCACAGCAGCACUUGUACAGCUGGGAGCUGGACAAGCAGCGAGUUCUACACACAGUAGCUGUCUAGAGCUGAUGCAGCCACCUUUCAGAGCUGUGCCUACAGCCUCCUCCUAGCUCCCAGAGCGACCACAAGCUGGACUGCCACCGAACCGUCCUCGGAGCUGCUCCCAGGGCUGUGCUGCAGCCCGGGUAAGGCAGCACAGGCAGCACGGGGGAAGCUGCUGUGUGAUAGCAAUGCUCACAGAGGGAGCUGGGAAGCUUAACAGACAAGAUGCAUUCACCUGUGCUGGCUAAACUAGAGCAGGUAUAAAAGAAAAGGCCAAAUGCCCUAACAGCUACCUUGCUCAGGGAGGGUGUGAGUGGGCUGUCUCUUUGUGUGAGGUCCAACUCUCAAGGUGCCUUAAGUGUAGUGAAAACAACCCCCAGCAUCAGCUCUUCUUCCUGCUCGAUUUUAUGUUGUGGUCACAGCUGCAAAGAUAAGGAUGUUAUUUUGCUCCUCUGGCAUUGAGUCAAAACCCAGAAGUUUGUAUUUGAAAAGUGGCCUGGAAAGUACUGUAUUAACAGACAUGCAAAGCCUCUGACUUCUGGGGAAUAACCAGCUUUGAAGUGAAACAUACUCAGCAAUAAUCCAUGCAAACUUCAUUAAUUUCAGAACUGCAACAGCAAAGUACUACUUAGAAAAAGCUGUAAGAUAGUAAUGAAGGCUUUGGGGUUUAUUUUUAUUUUUAAUCCCAAAAGCUCCUUAUCUUCCUUCUCCAUGUUUUUUCAUUCAAUUUACAGUAGUCUAAGUUAAAGCUCAUCUAACAAAAAAAUGACACAUUAUGUUUGGCUAACGUCUUCACCCCCCUCUUGGUGAGAAUCCUUUCUUCCUUGGGGAGUAAAUAUAACAACUUUGCAACUGGUACAUUGCUUGUUUAAGAUAACUUUCCUUUGCAGUUUGUGUUUAAUGGAAUUUGGCUGAUCUGGGGUAUUUCAGCACUUAAAUAAUUGAGAUAGUGAGGGCAGCAAUUUUUGCCAAGUCUUAAAUAGCAAAAGGAUCUCUAGCAGAAAGGCAGUGUUUUGUUAUCUGUCAACAUGCAUGCAUCUUUACCACACCCCAGUCAAGUUUGAGAACCCUUGACACAGGCUACUGCACGAUACGAAACACUGGUUUUCAAAUUUGAGUCAAAGUUUAGACUCAAAACAAAGAGUAGUUGCAGUUUAACACUAGAUUUAAGUGCAAGUCUGAGCAGCUGCUGCUGGAACAGGGGUGCUCAUGCCAGUUUAACACUAGAUUUAAGUGCAAGUCUGAAAAGCUGCUGCUGGAACAGGGGUGCUCAUGGCACUUUUCCCAUCCUACUGCUAGGCUGUGCAGCUGCAGUGCAUGCCAUGUCCAGAAAGCCUUGAUGCACUGGAAAAAGCAACUUUGAAAAAGCCAGCUGAUCCCUAAGCCUGAUGCAAGAGGUACAGCACGAUGUUCAGCUGGGCGGUGGAACAGGGCCACCUUGCUGUGGCAGCCUGCUAUUACUCCAGCCUUCGAGGCUGUACCAGGGAUUUUUGAAAUUUGUUUCAACACUUCAAUUCAUCAAAAACUGGCUGUAAAAGAAGCAACCCAGGCCACUCUUACACUUCAAGUUACAUGCUCUCUUCUUGCACUUAAAGAGUUUCAUGUGAAUGAGCAGAGAGGAACCAACUAGGCCGGAAAGCAGGAGCAACCAGCCUCACCAAUAAGGGGGGGACAAGGAAAAUCUUGUUUGCUUAAGUGAUCAGAGCAGACUUAAACAGGGAAGUUCCAGAAAGAAACAUAGCAAUCCCUUUCUUCGCAGCGUCUGAACAUUUACCCUGCACAAGACAACCUGACUGCUUCACCGGCUGCACCUGAACAACAAAGUCAAUCUGACUGCACAUUCCUCACCACGUGGAGGAGUCACUGCAACCACCUUGCUUUAUGUCCGCCCUACCUCUUCACAUUUCCCCUGGCUGCGCUCCCGCUACCGAAUCCCCCGCAGAGCAGGGCACCCUGGGCCUGCUCCAAGCAACACGAGAUGUUCUCUGCUGCAGUUCUUGAUUACUCCCUGUGUACCAGGCUUUCUUUGUAGCUGGCCAGACACAUUUGCCUCGCACUCCCCUUCUGAAGGCGGCCGAGAGUUCUCUUAAGUGCAAAUACCAUCAACAGGGUCGGAGGAGAAAUGUGUCCAGGGUCUCGGGGGUCACUGAGCAUGAUGCCACUCGCCGUGACACCGCCGCCGAGUGCCCCUGCUUUGACCCCCGCCCCCCCCCCCCCCCCCCCCCCCCCCCCCCCCCCCCCCCCCCCCCCCCCCCCCCCCCCCCCCCCCCCCCCCCCCCCCCCCCCCCCCCCCCCCCCCCCCCCCCCCCCCCCCCCCCC